rnacentral:sRNA from 1 species
AAUUUUAUAGUUUCUGAGAUCUCGAUUGAUUUUUUUUCGGGGCUGAAUUGCUUAUACCAGUGGUUAAAGGAUGACCAGUUUUCCAAUUCGAUGUCGAGCAAUAUCUUUUUUAAUUUUUCCAGAUGCCCUGUUGCACUCCAGGGUGGACAGACUGUCACUGCAGAUGAUAUGUCUCCCUUAAGUUCAAGAGCCAAUUUACUUGCCUAAAUGAUGGCGGUAAAAACCGAGGAGUAGUGGGGAAGAUGACCCCAUGGAACAACAGAUCCGCCUUCGUCUACUACUGCAAAGGUAGUCGAUGCGUCGGACUUUGAGCCGUCCGUGUAAAACCAUUUCCGAUCGGCGUAUUUAUGGGUAGCUAAACAUUGUAGAAGUUUAAACAUUGCAGUAGGCGUCCUGA